rnacentral:rRNA from 1 species
CAGCUAGCUGGUGGGGUAAAGGCUCACCAGGGCCAUGAUCGGUAGCUGGUCUGAGAGGACGAUCAGCCACACUGGGAUUGAGAACGGCCCAGACUCCUACGGGGGGCAGCAGUGAGGAAUUUUCCGCAAUGGGCGCAAGCCUGACGGAGCAACGCCGCGUGCAGGACGACGGCCUUCGGGUUGUAAACUGCUUUUCUGGGGGACGAGCAAGGACGGUACCCCAGGAAUCAGCCCCGGCUAACUACGUGCCAGCAGCCGCGGUAAUACGUAGGGGGCAAGCGUUGUCCGGAGUUACUGGGCGUAAAGCGCACGCAGGCGGUUGCACGCGUUUCCGGUGCCAGCUCGUUGCUUAACGACGGGAGUGCCGGGAAGACGGUGCGACUCGAGGACCUCAGAGGGACAUAGAAUUCCGGGUGGAGUGGUGAAAUGCGUAGAUAUCCGGAGGAAUACCAAAGGCGAAGGCAGUGUCCUGGGAGGUAACUGACGCUAAGGUGC